rnacentral:misc_RNA from 1 species
UCUCGGCUUAUCACCGGCAGUCCCCCUAGAGUGCCCAACUGAAUGAUGGCAACUAAGGGCGAGGGUUGCGCUCGUUGCGGGACUUAACCCAACAUCUCACGACACGAGCUGACGACAGCCAUGCAGCACCUGUCCUACACCCUCGAAGGCUUCCUAGCUUUCGCUAGGCGUGCAGUAGGAUUUCUAGCCCUGGUAAGGUUCUUCGCUUAGCGACGAAUUAAGCCACACGCUCCACCGCUUGUGCAAGCCCCCGUCUAUUCCUUUGAGUUUUAGCCUUGCGGCCGUACUACCCAGGCGGUCAACUUAACGCGUUGGCUUCGCCUCCCAGAGGGUCGAUACUCCGAAAAGCCAGUUGACAUGGUUUAGGGCGUGGACUA